GUUUGUUUUUUCAAGAACGAGAUAUUGAUAGUUGAUGGACUUAAAGGUUUUGAAGCUAUUUCGUCUGAGGUUUUUGGUCGAUUUCCACUCCUAGCCCAGAAGAGAAGGGACCAAAGAUAAUUUUAUGCUAAUUAAGUUGUUUGUUAUAUCCAAUUCUUAAAGACAAGUAUGUAUUUGAAAUUUGGUAAGAUCUUCCCUCUUGUGAAAGAAAGGAAGGUAAUAAGACACGCUAGAAGGACUCUGAGGGAAGAAAGAAAGUCGUUCUAGUGAGGUGCAAUGCUGAAACUAUGAUCGAUAAACAAACCCUACAGAAGUCAGAAUGGGAUACUUCACUAAGGAAGCAACAUCGACGGUUAACUAUACUAUAGGCAUUUUGAGUUGCAUUUGGGUGUGGAAUGGAUAGGCCCUAAGUGGGCAAAUUCCUUUUUUUUAGGAACACAUACAAGAUUCAUCACUACAAAAAGAAUAAUGGCAUUUAUUCCCGAUCCCUCCUAAAAUGUGGAUGAUAUAACUUGAUAUUUGACAAGAGAUAAAGGAAUUAGAUGCAACGUUACCAUCUUCAGAGAUUAAAGUUGAAAUUUGGGUCUAUAAAUUUGCAACUUCUCAUAAAUUGUUGUAAACUUCGCAAAUCAGCACAAAUGUCUAAAGGUACUGUUCACCAAACUAGGCAACAGCAUGGCUGGGACACUACGUCCGAUGAUUAUCAUGCCUAUAUUUCAAAAUUAUCAAGGAUGCCAAGUGUUCUCCAUGGUGCUCCCCAGUACCCAAGCGUGCGCAAGGCCUUCAACAACAAGGUAAUUUAAGAAGAAGAGAUUAUCGAGGCUCGCCAAGAUUAUGUAAUCAACAAGAGGAAUCCCACCAAGUCUCCCAAGAAGGUUCAGGUGACGGAGCAAGUGCAAAUUAUAGAACAAAAUGGGAAUCAGAAAUCAGAAGUUAUCGAAGAAACUGUUGAUCAUGAAGCUGAAGGCUUCAUCCAGCAGAAACACAAGGGCCUUGAACUGUGCAAAUGGAAGACCUUCAAGUUGCCAUAGGCUAGGAGCGCAUGUCGGUUGUGCUUAGAUUACAGGCAAAGUAUAUCUCAGCUACAGUGUUGUAACCAACACAGCUAUUUAAAUAAAAAAGGCCUGUCUUCUUGCGGCUGCAGAACUUCUUUCAGGAUUGUUUGGAUAUAGCAUGCCAAGAUAAUUUAACUAUUUUAUAUUGCAAUAAGACAACAUAGUAUAAUAUAUAACUUUUCGUCGCUGCUUAUUUGUGAAUCCAGGGCUUCAUAAGCUGCAAUUUUUGUGCUGCAAUUGAGCCUUUAACAAAUAAAUUGUCAAUGUGACGAGUGUUACAGAAACUAAACUUUAGAGAAAAUUACAAACGAUGCUUCGCCUUAUUAUUAUUAUUACAUCAAGUUCUGAA